UACAGAGGUGGCAAGCGUUGUUCGGAAUUACUGGGCGUAAAGGGCGCGUAGGCGGCCUCCUAAGUCAGACGUGAAAUCCCAAGGCUCAACCUUGGAACUGCGUCUGAUACUGGGUGGCUUGAGUUCGGGAGAGGGAUGCGGAAUUCCAGGUGUAGCGGUGAAAUGCGUAGAUAUCUGGAGGAACACCGGUGGCGAAGGCGGCAUCCUGGACCGAAACUGACGCUGAGGCGCGAAAGCUAGGGGAGCAAACGGG
rnacentral:rRNA from 1 species